UGAAUGGAUGGAUCGUUCGUGCGAUGCUUGCUUGCUUGCUUUGUUUCCUGACACGCCGAUGGAGAUUGCUUGCUUGCUUGCUUGCUUGCUUUAUAUGAGAGCAAGCAGUGGAUGGAUCGCCUGCAAGAAGAGGGAGAGAGUUCGCAGGUGUUCCAGUGUCUUCGCAAGCUUUCCCGGCGGCUCUUCGGGAGCCUUCGCCUCAUCUCAUGUCUCUGUGGCGGUGGGGC
rnacentral:lncRNA from 1 species